AGUGAGCGGGCUGUGCAUGUGGGGAGGAGAGGAAGAGACGCUGUCUCGUGGGAACUCCCCCUCCAUUCCACCCCAUCUGCCGAGGGGUACAGGACUGGCGGCCUCAGGGCCCACUAGCUGUCCUCUGCCAACACCCUCACCCCAAGGGCGAGAGCUCAGCCAUUCUCCACUCUGCUGCAGCAGAAUGGAAUUAGACUCACCUUGUUAGAUUGUGCUGCUACCAAUUAAAGAGAGAGAGAGAGAAGAGAAACUCCGUGGAAACAUUCUCCACUUUCCAGCUGCUCUUAUUUAAUCUGUGUAAAUUCCCUGAGGACCUUAAACUAAAUCGACCACCAAAUAUUGAAAAAUAAAAACAAACUGUUAAUUAAA